rnacentral:rRNA from 1 species
GACGAACGCUGGCGGCGUGCUUAACACAUGCAAGUCGAGCGGUAAGGCCCUUUCGGGGUACGACGAGCGGCGAACGGGUGAGUAACACGUGGGUGACCUGCCCUCAGCUCUGGGAUAAGCCUGGGAAACCGGGUCUAAUACUGGAUAUGACUCCAUGACGCAUGUUGUGGGGUGGAAAGCCUUGUGCGGCUGAGGAUGGGCCCGCGGCCUAUCAGCUUGUUGGUGGGGUGAGGCCUACCAAGGCGACGACGGGUAGCCGGCCUGAGAGGGCGACCGGCCACACUGGGACUGAGACACGGCCCAGACUCCUACGGGAGGCAGCAGUGGGGAAUCUUGCGCAAUGGGCGAAAGCCUGACGCAGCGACGCCGCGUGAGGAU